UUUCCAAAUUAGCAAGAGAAUUUAAAUUGUCAAUACUUUGACUUACUGACAUUGCUAUACUAACAUAGCACACUAUUAAAAUGAUUCAUAUAAAUGAGAAACAAACGCAAACCAUGUGCUAAAGAUUACUAAAAAAAAGAUAAGAGAAAAACUAAUUUACGCCGAGCGAUAUAUUCAAAAUUCAUUAUUUGAGUGUGGACAACAAUGCGAAUUCCUUCUUGAGAGUAGGUAUGCCGACCUUUACUUGAUUUAUUUGACCCCCAAAAAGAUUUGGAAAAGAGAAACGAUAGGAUAGAGGCGAGAGUAUAGUUUAAGAAAAAGAAGCACCAGCCAAUAGGAACUAUACUCCUCCGGCAAAAGACUGUCGCAUCCGGAAUAGAAUCAAAUGCUCAACUACUAAGAAAAUAGACUGUGAUCCGCGAUAUUAAAACCGAUCCAAAUGGCGCGACCAACCACCUGAGUUGAAUCCAGCGACACCCGAAUCCGGCCCAAUAUUUUGGUUUCGGCGGAUCAUAGCUUAAUUAUCCAUGAAUCCUCGUCCAGCUAAAGCGUUACACCAAUCGUAGCACCACUAGGAGGAAUUUGCGCUUGUGCAUUGUGAG
rnacentral:sRNA from 1 species